AUGUCCGUAAAGGAGCUGGGGAUGGAGAUAAGGAGCAGAGCGCCUCGGGCGCUCUCCCCAGUGCUGAACACACAGACGUGUGACUGCCCCAAGUCGUCACCUUUCACUCACGCCCACGGCAAGCGGUGGAAAGGGCCCGGAAUUUCUCGGAGCUGCAGGUCCAGUAGAAAUAGUGCUGACGGAGGGUGCGACACGUGGCCAGGAGACCCCCGCCUGAGACUUCGCCGUCAGCUGUCAGAAGCCACAGAGUCCGCGCUCACGCUCGCUGGCUCCGCCGUGCCGGCCCGCGGGCCUGGAAGGAGAGGCUGAGGAGGACGCGGAGCCCUGAGUCCUGCAGAGGAGGAAAAGAAAGAGAACGUCAAGGAUGAAGAUGAACUCCGCUGCACUCCAAGUCCUGUGCCAAUUUGUACAACAAACAUCAAUGCUUCAUUUGGACGCAAAUGAGAGAGGGAAAAAAAAAAAAAAAACGACAAGCGUGGAAAGACGUCAGAGAGGACCAAAGAG
rnacentral:lncRNA from 1 species